CUGUGUUCCAACCCAGUAGUGUUCAAACAUAAAAAUAAAGUCAUGACCCAGAAUGAUGUUGCAAUACUCUGACAAGGCACUUACUGACAGAUGGGUCAUUUACGACACAUCAAAGCAAAGUUCUUGUGAUUGCCCAAGUUCUUUAACUUCUGACAGUAUUUGCUUUUAAAAGAUAGAGUAGUAUUGGGGCUAGGAAUGUGGCUUAGUGGUAGAGUGCAUGCCUAGCAUGAAUGAAGCUCUGGGCAUAAU